rnacentral:rRNA from 1 species
UCAACACACAACCAUGCACACAAAAAAUAAAAAGUAC